AAAUAAAGAAAGGAAAAAAGAUAAGAAAACAUACCUGUUAAUUUGGUGACAGUUGUUCUGAAUAACAAUCUUUGAAUGGAAAAAUAUCACAAUGAAGUCUGUUCUUCAAUGUAAAGAGAUAUAACUGCAAUGUAUAAGAUCAGUUUUACCCAUGACACAUAACCCUUUAUACAUUUCCGUGAAACAUGGAAGUGGUUAGAUGAGACUUUGCAGGGGUGUUGAGGUUUAUUUUAUAUUUAGAAUAUCUACCACAUUCUUAAUUCACUUUCUACGGUGGCCCACUGGUGCACAACACAACAACAUUAGCAAUGCACACGAAAGUUGAAAACACAACAACAUUAACAAAAAUGAAACAUUUAUAAAAACGCUGCAUUUCAGUAAACAAUCAACUACCCACAACUUUAAGUGACAACACAACAACAUUGGGUCACACCACAACAGCAUCAGCCCAGAACACAACAGAAUUAGCCCAAAACACAGCAACAUUUGCAGAAAUGCUGCAUUUCUAGUUGCUCACAACAGAAGUGCUCCAGACCAGUGCCAAGUGGAAUUAGUUGGGUUUCCAACAAAUAAUAUACAUUUCACUUCAUACCGGGGGACUGACUUUGGGCGCUGUUAUGUUAUUGUUUUCAUUAUUAGCUAGCUAUCGUGAACACUUAUCAGACUGUUUUCUUAUUGGCAAUGAGAAUUUACAUCUGUGCCCCACAAAGGAGGUAAUGUAGUAAUGAUCAAUCAAUGAAGAGGUCAGAAAAAGGAAGUUGGUGACAGUACAUCAUGACAUUAACAUGUCACAAAGAUGUGCAGUGCACAUUUCAUUGCCAGUGACAUCGCUGAGAGCAAAGUUGGAGGACGGUGGUACCUAAAAAUGUGUGGUUCCUAAUGUCUUCGUAUGGAAUAGUUAUAUUCAAAACAGACCUGGUGUUUGGGAAAGGCGACUGAAACCCCCUGCCCCUACAGAGGAAGACGAACGAGGCGAGAAAUGUUCGCUACAAAGAUGGAGUGUGCAGAUUCUGAUCCAAUCUAGACGCAUGAUCACUGUACAGGCUCUGAUCCCACAGCCCUGGACAGGGCCUUAAUAAUGGUGAACCAGGAGCAAGCAUGGGAAAUCCAAGCGCUUUCAACAAUGCUGGAAAACCUGACAACACAACACCACUUUCGUGUACAAUGGUUUACUGGGAUCUGACGAAGACAUGAUUUUACACAAGAUUUGCAACACCUGAGUUUGAUGAUUAUCCAGACCCAAAGGCUGUGAUUAACUGCACUGAACUCUGCUGCCAGACACCAUCUUCCCUACUCCUGCAGAGUGAGGUGUUUUCUUCAAGUUGCACUGUACCUUCAAAGGCAUGUUGGGAAUGUCACCACAUGGAGCUACCACUUUUGGGUCCUCUUUGUAUGCUGGUUCUGUGGGUGACAAGGAGAUUGUUAGGCAGCCAGGAAUUAUUUCCUUACUUAUCCCUGAUCAUGGCCUUUAUGGUGGAUGAUGUCUACCUCGUGGAUGAUCUGGUUCCAUGCAAGAUCUGACAGCCAGCUUUUCUGCAGAGGUGCCACAGAUUCAGAGAGUAAAGGAGCAGAAGCUGUUUGACACAGUCAUCCCUCUGACCGUCUCAGGCAGCAUCAACCAACUAUUUGCGUUGUCAUGCUUGCUGGUGAACAAUCAAAAUUUACUUUUGGUCAGAGCAUGGGUCAAGCUGGGGUAAAUGUACAUUUGUUUUUGUUCACUCUUAUUUGGAGUAAUCGUUAGGGAGAUGCUUUGGUGAUCCUUGAAUUAUUUUUUAAAGAUAACGAAUUGCAUGUUUAAGUAAUAGCUACAUAUAAUUAAAUGUUUAUUGAAUAUUACCUGAUUUUGUGCCUACCAAUAGAUUGUAGGGUACAUCACAAAUGUCAAAAUAUUUGUAAAAUAUAGUUGUGGAUGAAAUGUCAAUUAACUUCAUAUCAGUUGUUUGUGUAGAUCUUGGCCUUAAUAAGGAAAUUAGUUUUAGUAAACACAAAACAAAAUGAAAGAUUCAACAGCAUGUCUAUGUAAUACAGAAGAUAUACAUUUAUUAAGAAAUAUGAACUGUUAUUUGUUGAAAUUAUAUACAUUAAAAUACAUUCUUCAUACAAUUAGUUUUUUCUUCAUGGGAACUCUAAUAUUUGUUUGGAAAACUGAGUUUCUACAGGUGCUAAAAUGUAACAACAUAGCGCAAGCGAUAUUAUCGCUGUACUGGUUUGUAAUAUGUGGAAGUGGGUAUGAAACAUUCAGUCAUGGAAUAUGCUAAAGGCCUAUUUAAAAUAAUCCCAAUGCAAGUUUUUUAAU
ensembl:lncRNA